UGUGUGUUAAAGACAACAACAAAUGCAUUAACAGAAUGAUCUGUGCUAACAAAAGGUUUUUAAUUGUUCGUUGUGAUUCUGCAUAAUCAAAGGGCCACGUAUUGCAAACAGCAGCCUGUGAGGUUAAACACACAGAAGAGGCCUCUGGUUUAUUUUUAUUUAUUAACAACUGAUCUGUUAUAAUUAAACUCUUUCGUCAGAUGGUGGCUUUGGAAUCCAGUGUGUUCAGUUCUAUUCAUCUGAGCACUACAUUAACUUGCAAGACGAGUUAUACGGGCGCUGCCAAGGUUCAAGAAGAGGACAGAGCCCUCAAAGCUAUGCCAGAACAGAUGAUCCUCCUUCAAUACACGGCUAACAUCCUUAUGCAGAAGACAAGUUUUAAUUUAAGAAAUCGUCUUUAGGUGAUGAUAAAUAUGAUACUGCAAAGAGAGAGAGAGAGAGAAGACAGAAGUAAUCCGAAGCCUCAACAGAAGACGUAGCAUGAUGAGCCAUUUUGUUUUAAUCACCACAUUACUCUACAACUUGAAAACAUUAAUCUAAUAAUCAGGCUUGCAAAUGCUGACCGUUUGUGGAAAUGUAAUGAAAAUCCAGCAGCCAUUCAGGCGAUACAUCUGGAAAGGGCAUUUUGUGGAGCUAAUAAAAUAAGUGAGUUUCAGAAUGGAUGCC